CCGUUGCACUAUCGUUUGAUGAAUACAUAGUCAAACGAGGCGAACCGGGGGAACUGAAACAUCUAAGUACCCCGAGGAAAAGAAAUCAACCGAGAUUCCCCCAGUAGCGGCGAGCGAACGGGGAGCAGCCCAGAGCCUGAAUCAGCUUGUGUGUUAGUGGAACGGUCUGGAAAGUCCGGCGAUACAGGGUGACAGCCCCGUACACGAAAGCACACAGGUUGUGAGCUCGAUGAGUAGGGCGGGACACGUGGUAUCCUGUCUGAAUAUGGGGGGACCAUCCUCCAAGGCUAAAUACUCCUGACUGACCGAUAGUGAACCAGUACCGUGAGGGAAAGGCGAAAAGAACCCCGGCGAGGGGAGUGAAAAAGAACCUGAAACCGUGUACGUACAAGCAGUGGGAGCCUCUUAAUGGGGUGACUGCGUACCUUUUGUAUAAUGGGUCAGCGACUUAUAUUCUGUAGCAAGGUUAACCGUAUAGGGGAGCCGAAGGGAAACCGAGUCUUAACUGGGCGUUAAGUUGCAGGGUAUAGACCCGAAACCCGGUGAUCUAGCCAUGGGCAGGUUGAAGGUUGGGUAACACUAACUGGAGGACCGAACCGACUAAUGUUGAAAAAUUAGCGGAUGACUUGUGGCUGGGGGUGAAAGGCCAAUCAAACCGGGAGAUAGCUGGUUCUCCCCGAAAGCUAUUUAGGUAGCGCCUCGUGAAUUCAUCUCCGGGGGUAGAGCACUGUUUCGGCUAGGGGGCCAUCCCGGCUUACCAACCCGAUGCAAACUACGAAUACCGGAGAAUGUUAUCACGGGAGACACACGGCGGGUGCU
rnacentral:rRNA from 1 species